rnacentral:rRNA from 1 species
AGGUGAACCUGCGGAAGGAUCAUUACAGAGUUCUUGCCCCCCGGGGUAGACCUCCCACCCUUGAAUACAAUACUAUUGUUGCUUUGGCGAGCCGCCGCAAGGCAUCGGCUUCGGCUGACUGCCCGCCAAAGGACCCAAUUCUUUUGUUUAGUAAUGUCUGAGUACUAUUUUAAUAGUUAAAACUUUCAACAACGGAUCUCUUGGUUCUGGCAUCGAUGAAGAACGCAGCGAAAUGCGAUAAGUAAUGUGAAUUGCAGAAUUCAGUGAAUCAUCGAAUCUUUGAACGCACAUUGCGCCCUUUGGUAUUCCGAGGGGCAUGCCUGUUCGAGCGUCAUUAGUACCAAAUCAAGCUCGGCUUGGUGUUGGGGUUCGCUAUUCAGCGGCCCUUAAACUCAGUGGCGGUGCUGCCGAGCUCUAAGCGUAGUAAUUUUCUCGCUAUAGAGUCUCGGGAGAUGUCUGCCAUAACUCUUAUAACUGGGUUGACCUCGGAUCAGGUAGGGAUACCCGCUGAACUUAAGCAUAUCAAUAAGCGG